rnacentral:rRNA from 1 species
AACGAACGCUGGCGGCAGGCCUAACACAUGCAAGUCGAGCGAGGACUUCGGUUCUAGCGGCGGACGGGUGAGUAACGCGUGGGAAUGUGCCCUUCUCUACGGAAUAGCCCUGGGAAACUGGGAGUAAUACCGUAUACGCCCUAUUGGGGAAUGAUUUAUCGGAGAAGGAUCAGCCCGCGUUGGAUUAGGUAGUUGGUGGGGUAAUGGCCUACCAAGCCGACGAUCCAUAGCUGGUUUGAGAGGAUGAUCAGCCACACUGGGACUGAGACACGGCCCAGACUCCUACGGGAGGCAGCAGUGGGGAAUCUUAGACAAUGGGGGCAACCCUGAUCUAGCCAUGCCGCGUGAGUGAUGAAGGCCUUAGGGUUGUAAAGCUCUUUCAGCUGGGAAGAUAAUGACGGUACCAGCAGAAGAAGCCCCGGCUAACUCCGUG